rnacentral:rRNA from 1 species
CCUACGGGAGGCAGCAGUAGGGAAUAUUGCACAAUGGAGGAAACUCUGAUGCAGCGAUGCCGCGUGAGUGAAGAAGGCCUUUGGGUUGUAAAGCUCUUUCGUCGGGGAAGAAAAUGACUGUACCCGAAUAAGAAGGUCCGGCUAACUUCGUGCCAGCAGCCGCGGUAAUACGAAGGGACCUAGCGUAGUUCGGAAUUACUGGGCUUAAAGAGUUCGUAGGUGGUUAAAAAAGUUGGUGGUGAAAUCCCAGAGCUUAACUCUGGAACUGCCAUCAAAACUUUUUAGCUAGAGUAUGAUAGAGGAAAGCAGAAUUUCUAGUGUAGAGGUGAAAUUCGUAGAUAUUAGAAAGAAUACCAAUUGCGAAGGCAGCUUUCUGGAUCAUUACUGACACUGAGGAACGAAAGCAUGGGUAGCGAAGAGGAUUAGAUACCCUCGUAGUCCAUGCCGUAAACGAUGUGUGUUAGACGUUGGAAAUUUAUUUUCAGUGUCGCAGCGAAAGCAUUAAACACACCGCCUGGGGAGUACGACCGCAAGGUUAAAACUCAAAUGAAUUGACGG